rnacentral:rRNA from 1 species
AUUGAACGCUGGCGGCAGGCUUAACACAUGCAAGUCGAGCGGGGAAGUAUAGCUUGCUAUACGACCUAGCGGCGGACGGGUGAGUAAUGCUUAGGAAUCUGCCUAUUAGUGGGGGACAACAUUCCGAAAGGAAUGCUAAUACCGCAUACGCCCUACGGGGGAAAGCAGGGGAUCUUCGGACCUUGCGCUAAUAGAUGAGCCUAAGUCAGAUUAGCUAGUUGGUGGGGUAAAGGCCUACCAAGGCGACGAUCUGUAGCGGGUCUGAGAGGAUGAUCCGCCACACUGGGACUGAGACACGGCCCAGACUCCUACGGGAGGCAGCAGUGGGGAAUAUUGGACAAUGGGCGAAAGCCUGAUCCAGCCAUGCCGCGUGUGUGAAGAAGGCCUUUUGGUUGUAAAGCACUUUAAGCGAGGAGGAGGCUACUUG